CAGUAGCCACGUAAUACGGAGGGUGCAAGCGUUAUCCGGAUUUAUUGGGUUUAAAGGGUCCGUAGGCGGAUCUGUAAGUCAGUGGUGAAAUCUCACAGCUUAACUGUGAAACUGCCAUUGAUACUGCAGGUCUUGAGUAAAUUUGAAGUGGCUGGAAUAAGUAGUGUAGCGGUGAAAUGCAUAGAUAUUACUUAGAACACCAAUUGCGAAGGCAGGUCACUAAGAUUUAACUGACGCUGAUGGACGAAAGCGUGGGGAGCGAACAGGAUUAGAUACCCGCGUAGUCCCUGUCUCUUAUACA
rnacentral:rRNA from 1 species